CAUUUUUGACAAGAUUACAGGCUUGAUUGAGCUAACUAAAAGUAUCGUCAUAUAGGUGUGUGCACAUCGUUUCAAUAAGUUAGGGUAAUGAUAUGAGACAGAGGGAGGACAUUUUUAAAGGCCUGUAUUGUUUGGUAAUAGGCUUACAUGGUCUGUCUGUGUAUAAAUAAUGCCCAGCUCUGUCCGUGUAUAAAUAAUGCCCUGGGACAAAACAAAUGUCAAGUAUGUGAGAUAUUAUUCAGGACAGAAGGACAACAACCCACAUGUUGGGAACAAAAGAAACGGUAAAAUUGAAAAUAUAUAAGAAAGGCACCAUAUGUGCUGCAUGUUUGGUAUACUUUACAUAUUUUGGUAAAGCCUUCAAUGUGGAUAUAAUCAACCCUUGUCGGUUCUAUUUUCAACAGAAAGUGUACGGGAGCUGUGGAUGUAAAGUACAGGACAACAUUUAGUUAGAAUAUUUUUCUUUCCGUUGAAACAUUGAAACAUCCGUUGGUGAAACACCCAAUAGUCCUUACCCGGAACUUGUUCAGUCGGGAAGAAAUCUUACAACACAUUUUGAAACCGGAGAAGUCCACUACCUGAGCAUGCCCAAUUAAAACGUAAAAAUGUGCAUUCUGUUUCAAAAUACAUUUUUACAUAGUGCCACCCUGAACAAGGCCCUGUAAUUUAAAGGGAUAGUCCACCCAAACAUUUACUUCACUACCCAUUAAAUGAAUUACGGUCAAUCAUUUCUGUCUCUCUUUGUCCAGUCCGAAGACAGAUAAGGAAAACAAUGUCAUUUAGUGAUUUGUGUGAUCUACCCCUUAAGUGAAGAAGUCUAAUUGUUAGCAUUAGCCAUGAUGUCGCUCACACUGCUCAUCAGGGAGUGCAAAACAUAAUUUACAGAUGAUUAGCGUCACAGUUUAUACAUUCUACCGCCUGGCAGGUUUAUAAGGGAUAAUGCACGAGGGGCAAUGUGUUCUCUGGAAAAUAAUGCAAAACCUUUCAGAAAGUAUUCACAAAGCGUCCCUUGUGGCUAUAAUUGAACACAUUAGUGGCUAGAAAUGUAUUAAUUUGCCGGCAGAAUCAGACAAGAUCCAAGUAGCCAGCAAUGAGCUAGACAGCCACAGCCAUGGCCAUGAUAAUGACAAAAACAUAACUUAGCUAACCAAACCUAUUAUAAUGUCCAAUUCAACAAUGGACAGAAUAAUUUCAGUAAGGGACAGUUUGAAAUUAACCGGGAAGUGGGGUGCUGGUACAAAAUGUAUUGUCUGGAGAGGGCUGGUCAAAGAUUUGUUUUAGAGAAGGUUGUGUGUGUUAUUUUUACGGAGUGGCACAAAAUUGUGCAAUGUUUGUUUGUGUGAGAAAACUGAUUAUGUGCGCUGGGCAGGUGGAGAACCAAUGGAAUGGCCACUGUCAAACAAGCCUGCUGUCAAACUAAUAACCAGCUACCGAGUGGCUCUCAGGUGUGGAACUUAAAUUACAUUUGACAUUUAAGCCAUUAUCUGAAGUUCUCAUCCAACAUCCUAAAGCUAUGUGCUUUGACAACCAAACACAAUUUAAUUAAAGCCAAUUUCGUCUCCAACUAUACCAACAAAUAAUUGCUAAACAUUAAGAUUGAACCAGUGGCUUGAACGAAACAAGCAUUAGAUAUGUCUCCUUAAUG
ensembl:lncRNA